rnacentral:rRNA from 1 species
CCUACGGGGUGCAGCAGUGAGGAAUAUUGGUCAAUGGGCGCGAGCCUGAACCAGCCAAGUCGCGUGAGGGAUGAAGGUUCUAUGGAUCGUAAACCUCUUUUAUAAGGGAAUAAAGUGUGGGACGUGUCCUAUUUUGUAUGUACCUUAUGAAUAAGGAUCGGCUAACUCCGUGCCAGCAGCCGCGGUAAUACGGAGGAUCCGAGCGUUAUCCGGAUUUAUUGGGUUUAAAGGGUGCGUAGGCGGCCUUUUAAGUCAGCGGUGAAAGUCUGUGGCUCAACCAUAGAAUUGCCGUUGAAACUGGGGGGCUUGAGUAUGUUUGAGGCAGGCGGAAUGCGUGGUGUAGCGGUGAAAUGCUUAGAUAUCACGCAGAACCCCGAUUGCGAAGGCAGCCUGCCAAGCCAUGACUGACGCUGAUGCACGAAGGCCAGGGGAGCGAAAGGGAUUAGAUACCCGUGUAGUC